ACACUACUUAGUGCUUUGGAAAGAGGGUUGAGCCUCACACACACAACCAGAGCAGCUUCUCAAUGGGGGGACGGAGCCAAGAGGAGACAGAACUAUCGUUCCGCUGGAGCCAAUCUCCGACCGUGUCUGAGAAGUGAGGAGGCAAAUUAACUCCCUGUCGUCACGAGAGGGCUUUCAUCCUCACAGGAGUAAGAAGAGAGAGAAAAGGGAGAGGGAGAAAGAAGGAGAGAAAGGAGCUGCUGUCUGCUCUGAUAUAAAGGUGACCUGAGCAGUUUUCCAUCCUGUAAACCCUGGCUAGUUUGUGACAGAGUGUCGUGGCUGUGAGCUGAGGAGGUUUCUGGUGACUGCACUCUCAGGAUUUCAGACGGACAGUGAGAGGAGGGAGCCGAAACAACAGAGCUCCUCACCCUCUUAUCCUGCAGCGCUGUGCUCCUUUACACCUGGAUCUUUGUAGGGAAACCCUGGCCUCAGACUAUGGAUGGAUUUAAGACAGUGUUGUGAGUCUGUUGGACAGACGGUGAUAUUGACAGCCGGGCUCUUUUUCUUCUGACCAGACAGACCACUCAGCCGCUCUGCCAUGUCCUGGUUCCUGGGCCUGUGGAUUAGCUUAGGCUUCCUGCUGCUGUGCCAGGCCACACUGUACGAGACUAUCCAGCAGCACCACGUUCCGCGGCCCGGACGCAAUGCCAUACAGAUCCUGGAAGGAGGGACUUGUGAGGUGAUCGCAGCCCACCGGUGCUGUAAUAAGAACCGUAUUGAGGAGCGCUCCCAGACCGUCAAGUGCUCCUGUCUACCGGGAAAGGUGGCCGGGACAACACGCAACAAACCCUCUUGUGUGGAUGCGUCCAUUGUGAUUGGGAAGUGGUGGUGUGAGAUGGAGCCGUGUCUGGAGGGAGAGGAGUGUAAGACUCUGCCUGAUAACUCUGGAUGGAUGUGCUCCUCUGGGAACAAGAUCAAGACCACAAGGAACACUGCGCCAUACUCACCUUUUUAGCUCUGGAAGCAAAAUGCAGAGGAUGCUUCAACAGAAACUGAGCUGCAUUCUUGCUUCUGUAAAGAGGGGGAGCCCUGCUUGCCUGUACUCUAUCAGCAGCAGACAAGGCAGGCCUUUUGUUUGAGGAAGUCACAGUGAAGGGAACUGGGGAGGGACCCCUCCAAACACACGCCCAGCAUAGAUCCACAUUACCUGCUCCAUUGGCUAAAUAGAUCAAUCAAUUUCUUCUCACGCCAUACAAUUACAUGGAAAAGGGAGAGAACAAAAAAAAGCUUGUCUUCAUUCUGCUUACCUGCCCCUUUUGUUAUAAGGAUCUAAUUAUGUGAAGGCUUCAAUAUAAUCAAGAAUCCCUACCAGACAGACAGUACAUGUCACCAGACAGAUUGACUGUUAGCCCAGGAUCAUUCAUGGCUGAGAGAAGAAGAAGAAACUGAUAAGAGACAUUUCACUAAUACUUUGGUAGUUUCCUAGCUGUUAACUCAGUAUGUAAAUUCAGUAUAUGCUUUGCUGUUUCAUGAGCCACAUGUUGUCUAUUAGAAGUACCAGAAGGCACCUUUUCAAGACAGUCACAAAACACAACAGGAUAUAUCCCAUCUGGGAGGCUUGUUCAGAGCAAAGUGCAACAGACACAUCACCAUCAAAUGUGUUGAAUAAGAGAAAUCAUAAAUCAAUUGAUCAAAUGAACAACUGUUACCACUCCACACAGUAAAAUCAUGUUUUCAACUUACACUACUGUUCAAAAGUUUGGGGUUACUUAGAAAUGUCCUUGUUUUUGAAAGACAAGCCCAUCAGAAAUACAGUGUAGACGUUGUUGUAAAUGACUAUUGUAGCUGGAAAUGGCUGAUUUUUUUUAAAUGGAAUAUCUACAUAGGCGUACAGAGGCCCAUUAUCAGCAACCAUCACUCCUGUGUUCCAAUGGCACGUUGUGUUAGCUAAUCCAUGUUUAUCAUUUUAAAAGGCUAAUUGAUUAUUAGAAAACCCUCUUGCAAUUAUUUUAGCACUGCUGAAAACUGUUGUUCUGAUUAAAGAAGCAAUAAAACUAGUUGAGUAUCUGGAGCUUCAACAUUUGCGGGUUUGAUUACAGGCUUGUUCUGAGAAAUGAAGGCUAUUCCAUGCAGGAAAUUGCCAAGAAACUGAACAUUUCGUACAACGCUGUGUACUGUUCUACUCCCUUCACAGAACAGUGAAAACUGUCUCUAACUAGAAUAGAAAGAGGAGUGGGAGGCCCCAACUGAACAAGGGGGCAAGUACUGUACAUUAGAGUGUCUAGUUUGAGAAACAGACGCCUCACAAGUCCUCAACUGGCAGAUUUGUUAAAUAUUAUUCUUCAAAACACCAGUCUGAACAUCAACAGUGAAGAGGUGACUCCAGGAUGCUGGCCUUCUAGGCAGAGUUGCAAAGAAAAAGCCAUAUCUCAGACUGGCCAAUAAAAAUAAAAGAUUAAGAUGGGCAAAAGAACACAGACACUGGACAGAGAAACUCUGUCUAGAAGGCCAGCAUUCCAGAGUUGCCUCUUCACUGUUGGUGUUGAGACUGGUGUUUUGCGGGUACUAUUGAAUGAAGCCUUCAUUUCUCAGAACAAGAAUAGACUGACGAGUUUCAGAAGAAAGUUCUUUGUUUCUGGCCAUUUGGAGCCUGUAAUCGAACCCUCAAACGGUAGUAUCUAUUUUUUUGAUAACAGUUUACAUUAACCAUCCGUCCGCAUUUUGCUUUCAUAAUAAUGACAUGACAGCUGAUAUAAGCUUAAAGGGGGUAGUCUACAGUUGCUCCAUACAUGUUUGGACUUAUAAAUGAAUGAUAUGUACCCAUUGAUUGUUGAAGAAUAUACUGCAACUUCUAAAUGCCUUAUGAGCUUAGUUCAAUUGUCAUACCCCAUCAGAACCCAAAAUUUGAUCUUGUUUUACUCCAAUGUUUUUAAACAAAGUAAGUGUAAACAUAUACUGUAGCCUCAAAACACGGUUAGAACUAGAAUUGUGAUAUCAUGGAUGGUCAGUCAUUGCGUACAUACCUCCGUCUAUGAAUUUGAGAGUGGUUACAUUUAUCCAGCCCCAACCCUCCACUUUCUAAUUGUUUCAACUGCUGAUUACUGCGUUAACUGUCUUCAAAAGUAGACAAAGUAGAAGACAAACUUUAGCUUUGUAGUGGGGUAAUAUUUGAUAUGUGUAUAUUAUACUGUGUAUAACUCACACGCGUCCCGUGAUAAAACCGUGUCGUUUGUACAUUAACAAAGUGUAUUUGAAAGGAUAUCUGACUCCAUUUAGCGUUAUAAUACAAAGAGAUGUGUAUUAGGCCAGGGGCCUAGAAGCUUCGGAAAUUAAAAUAUAUCACACAACCUUUCACCAAUAGACAGGAUACAUUAUAAGAGAGAGAGAAAAACAGACCUUAAUUUUAUUUAUGACAUCUGAAGGUGUGAAACCUACCACCAUUGACCAAUCAAACAAUACCAAUACACAUGGUUAGCAGUUGUUAUUGCGAGCGUAGCGAAAUGCUCUUGCUUCUAGAUCCGACAGUGCAGCAGUAUCUAAGAGGCAAUAUCUAACAAUUCCACAACAAAACCUAAUAUUUAACUAAUUCCACAACAAAACCUAAUACAUCAAACAUUUCCGUAAAAAACAACAACGAUAAAGCCUUGUGUUCUUGUUUUUUAUUUAUUUUUCGAGCUGUUGGUGUUAGGUGCACUUGAUUCAGCAGCCCUAGCACCGGGGAGACAAAGUGUUCCCAUUUUUAACCAUUGCAUGUGUCUGAAGGUAGAACUCCACCUACCCAGCAGUCCCAGAUAGCAAAUCAAGUGCACCUAUAGGCCUACCACUGACCAAUCAGAUAGCUCGUAACACUGUGUCUGCACAAUGUAAUAGGAAGCAUCGAACGCACAGCAAAGUUCAUAAUGUGAGAUUUCAAAUGUUUUAAAACCACGAGUGGAGACUCAACGAAUAGAGCAAAUUGCUGCUGUGUUUGAGUAAGUUAAUGUUUAAGUUGUUAUUCAGCACUGCCAACACUUUGUUCAGCAGUUUAAUAGUUCAUAAAAUGCACGUUCUCCCAAAUUCCACUCACACUACAACCAGCACUACAGCUGCAAUGAAUGAGUACAGCAAAGUGUUUCGAUAAGCUUGCGUUGUUGUUAUUUGAGGCGUGUCUUUGUUAAUAUCGGAGUUUUUCAACAACAUAAAUUGAUGCACGACGCAGAAAUACUGCAGCUGGAAGACUGUGUCCCCUUUUCUCAGUGGAAGGAGAGAGGAGGGAUGGUGAAUCGGGUAAGAGGCAGCCUCACCGUUGCUCCCUUCCCUCAAACUGACUAUCAGAUGCAGGCCAUCAGUCCAGUAAAAAGAAAAAGUGAAUUAUUAUGCUCACUCAGCUGUCUGUAACAAGUAAUACAGCAAAUGAUCUAUUUCCAGUGUGGUUAUACACCUUAAAUGUUGAAACAUAAUUUCAAAAUUGUCUUAGAAGAACAACAUUGUCAGGACAAUUCAAGCUUAGCCAGUAUGCAGUGAUAAUGUAUUGGGCCUACAGCCUACUGCACAAACCUCAUUGCUGCAAAACUGUUUUUAAUUGGUUAAUGUUACAUAGGCAUCCUUUUUUUUAAGUCAUGUUAUUUAUUUCCUGAGCGUUAGAUCUCGGCUUGCAUUUUGACUCAGAAAAUGUUAGUGACCGCUGCUUUAGAGAGAGAGAGAUACAUUUUGGCCCUCAGAGGGGGGAAAGGCGUACUGGUCCAUAAAGCAUUGCCAUUUGUGUUUUGCUGCACCAUUUGCCAUGCAGCCCCAGGUGACAGAGAGACAUAGUUUAGGGCCGGGCCUGCAGUGUCAUAAAGGAAUGUGUCAUAAGCUGACAUCAACUGCCUUCACUGUUUAUGUCCUCUGUCAUGUCAUUCUCAUAACAGUGUUAUGUAGGCCUUAUGAUGGAAGGUUCAUGUAAAGUGGUUCUGUUUGCUUCUACUCUUUUGCUCUAUACCCACUGUCAG